CUGGGCAGGCUGGGAUGACAAGUGGAUCCCAGUGCUGAGGCUUCCCGAGUGCUGAGACCCCUGAGCCACAGGUCUCACUGUGGGGACAGUGAGUGACUGUCUUGGGUCCUCACCUGUGGACUUGUAGUGAGAAAUGUUUUCCUCAGCUUAGCCAUGAUCCAUAUGAUGGAGCAACGUAGCCGAGCUGUGGCUUGACCCAGAUUACAUCUGCAGUCAUCUGGAACUGACUACACGCCCGAACAGAUAAAAGAAGCUGUGGAAAUAUGGAUCUCUGGGGCCUUGGCAAGAUGCUUAUGCCAUAUGCACCUGUCCUCUGGAAGACAAAAGAGUGAGGAUCAGCAGUGUCAUUUAUUCUGCAAAAACUGAACAGAUGAGAACUGCCAUGACAGCCAAUAGACAAAAUUAAAAAUUAAGGGAAGGCUGGUAUGGAACAAGAGGAAAAUUAUCCCAACAUUUUGCAAUUUUUUGUAAUUGAAGUCCUGUCUUUGGAGGGUGUUAUGUCAACUACACACUUGGUGAGGCCUAUAAGGAUUUUCCUUGUGUAAUACCUGCAGGAGUUAGCUCUAGCAUAUCCAGUAAGCAAUAGGUGGGCUCUCAUGGGAAAAAUGCAGGAAGAAAACUUGGUGAGAGCUGGAUCCUCUGCAGUGUCACCUCUCAUGAGGGACUGAGAGAAGAAAAGAAAGGGAAAAAAAAAAAAAAAGGUGAACUAAUUCACCAUGGAGAUGGAAGGAUGCAUGCUUCCUGUUGUGGAAUAGGACAAAAUCCUGUGACAUAUUCCCUCCUAUUAGGUUUGAUACCACUGCUUAUGAUAAAGAUUAAUUUAUAAAAAUCAACUGUUAAGUUAUAGGUCAGCCAAUAAGAUAGUGAUUUGACUAAUUUUUCAUUACAAUGUGUAUAAUAGUUUCAUGCCUUAAUUGACAUCAGUGCAGUGUGUUGUGUUGUUGAAUCCAAUGAAAUUUUAAUCCCACUAUGAAUUUGUUUUCCACAAAUAGAUUAUGAACAGAAGCCUUUGAUUUCUAUCAAUUAUGUAUUUUUGAGUGAAAAGCUAUUUUGUGUGUAUAUAUUUA